CUCCACAGCAAUAAACUCACAGUAAUGUGCAGUGUGAGUGUAUCACAGAGCUCCACAGUAAUAAUACUCCCAGUAAUGUGCAGUAUGAGUGUAUCACAGAGCUCCACAGCAAUAAACUCACAGUAAUAUGCAGUGUGUGAGUGUAUCACAGAGCUCCACAGCAAUAAAACCACAGUAAUGUGCAGGGUGUAUGAUGGUAUCACAGAGCUCCACAGUAAAACUCACAGUAAUGUGCAGUGUGUAAGAGGGUAUCACAGAGCUCCACAGUAAUAAUACUCCCAGUAAUGUGCAGUGUGAGUGUAUCACAGAGCUCCACAGCAAUAAACUCACAGUAAUGUGCAGUGUGAGUGUAUCACAGAGCUCCACAGUAAUAAUACUCCCAGUAAUGUGCAGUAUGAGUGUAUCACAGAGCUCCACAGCAAUAAACUCACAGUAAU